rnacentral:rRNA from 1 species
GCAAGUCGAGCGCGAAAGUGGGCUUCGGCCCACGAGUAGAGCGGCGCACGGGUGAGUAACGCGUGGGUGAUCUACCUUCGAGUGGGGAAUAACACCGGGAAACUGGUGCUAAUACCGCAUAACAUCCUCGGUUCGUUCCGAGGAUCAAAGCUGGGGACCGCAAGGCCUGGCGCUUGAUGAGGAGCCCGCGUCCGAUUAGCUUGUUGGCGGGGUAAUGGCCCACCAAGGCUUCGAUCGGUAGCCGGCCUGAGAGGGCGGACGGCCACACUGGAACUGAGACACGGUCCAGACUCCUACGGGAGGCAGCAGUGGGGAAUUUUUGUCAAUGGGGGAAACCCUGAACAAGCAACGCCGCGUGGAGGAUGAAGGCCCUCGGGUCGUAAACUCCUGUCGAUCGGGAAGAAUGCACUCGGCCCAAUACGCCGUUGUGUUGACUGUACCGGUGGAGGAAGCCACGGCUAACUCUGUGCCAGCAGCCGCGGUAAGACAGAGGUGGCAAGCGUUGUUCGGAAUUACUGGGCGUAAAGGGCGCGCAGGCGGCCCGUCAAGUCCCGUGUGAAAGCCCCCGGCUCAACUGGGGAACUGCGCGGGAAACUAGCGGACUUGAGUUCGGGAGAGGGAAGCGGAAUUCCGGGUGUAGCGGUGAAAUGCGCAGAUAUCCGGAGGAACACCAGUGGCGAAGGCGGCUUCCUGGACCGACACUGACGCUGAGGCGCGAAAGCCAGGGGAGCGAACGGGAUUAGAUACCCCGGUAGUCCUGGCCCUAAACGUUGAGCACUGG